GUACCCCUCAAUAAAGGCACCCGAAGGCUUAAAGUAGGACAACCCUGGCGCCUUCCUGUGGCAAGAGAGACAACAAAGCGCUAUUAAACUAAGGUCAAUCUAAGUGGUGUCAGCCUCACAACCCCACCUUCGGUUAGACAUGAGGACUUGCCUCAACUGCCUCUGGGGAGUGAAGCAUCCAAAGGAAUGCCUGCGUACCUUGCGUACCCCCGGCCUGUGUAACGCCUCCCUGGGCUGUUUUUAGAGCAGCCCUUGAUGAAGCCCAGACCUGAGUGGUGCUUGAAGGGGAGGGAAAGGGGGAAAGCGGGCAACCACUUCUCCCUAGCUUUUCCAGAAACCUGUUAAAAAGCAAGGUCUCCCCACAAGUGACUUCUCUGCCACAUCGUCACCCCCUGCCUUUGGCCUAGCGCAGACCCUUCACCCCUCACCUCGAUGCUGUCGGUAGCUUGGAUCCUUGUGGGCAUGAUCCAUAAGCAGUUUAAGGUAACUGGUGCCGAGGUCUUGGGUGGGUUGCACUGUUAGAAAAGACCGUUAAUUUGCCUGUAAACGUUUAAUGACAUUAAGACCACAACUAAAAAGCUCUCAGAUGUUUUAAAUGUAUAGCAAGCUGAAGGAGAUAGGCAUUUUAGCAGUUGAGGGCUGUUGGGUGGGAAUGCAAAAACUCUCUGCUAAGACUUUUUCAGGUGAACAUAACAGACUUGGCCAAGCUAGCAUCUUAGCUGAAGCAGAUUCUCCAGUGCUCUUCAGUAGGGUCUUAAAAUUUAAAGGUUUUGCUUUUUGGCCUUUACCUAGCUUUAAAAAAAAAAGCAAAAGAUGCUGGUGGUUGGCACUCCUGGCUUCCAGGACAGGGUUCAAAUCCCUGCGGCGUCUUUGCUUGACUUUUACUUCUGCCUUUCCGUUUUCCUCCUUUUUCUUCAGAUGAAGUUAGGGGAAGUGGAAGUAGCUUCAAACUAUACUAUACCUCUUGAUUGAAUUUGUCCUAAACUGGUUUGUGUUUGUAUUUUCACAGGAAUCUAGUGUAAUUACUUUGCCCUUUUAAUUUUCAGGUAUCUCUCAUGCAUCUGUUGUUUGGAGCAGUCUCACUAUUUUUAAAAAUAGAUGACAUAUUAAUAAAGGUUGAAAAACUUCAUUGGUGUGAUUCUUU
rnacentral:lncRNA from 1 species